AUGCAAGUCGAACGGACUUAACCAUUAGUUUACUAUUGGAGAGGUUAGUGGCGGACUGGUGAGUAACACGUAAGCAACCUGCCUAUCAGAGAGGGACAACAGUUAGAAAUGACUGCUAAUACCACAUAUGCCUAAGUAUCACAUGAUACAAUAGGGAAAGGAGCAAUCCGCUGAUAGAUGGGCUUGCGUCUGAUUAGCUAGUUGGUGGGGUAAAGGCCUACCAAGGCGACGAUCAGUAGCCGGACUGAGAGGUUGAACGGCCACAUUGGGACUGAGAUACGGCCCAGACUCCUACGGGAGGCAGCAGUCGGGAAUAUUGCGCAAUGGAGGAAACUCUGACGCAGUGACGCCGCGUGCAGGAAGAAGGUUUUCGGAUUGUAAACUGCUUUAGACAGGGAAGAAACAAGACAGUACCUGUAGAAUAAGCUCCGGCUAACUACGUGCCAGCAGCCGCGGUAAUACGUAGGGAGCGAGCGUUAUCCGGAUUUAUUGGGUGUAAAGGGUGCGUAGACGGGAAGGUAAGUUAGUUGUGAAAGCCCUCGGCUUAACUGAGGAACUGCAACUAAAACUGUCUUUCUUGAGUACUGGAGAGGAAAGUGGAAUUCCUAGUGUAGCGGUGAAAUGCGUAGAUAUUAGGAGGAACACCAGUGGCGAAGGCGACUUUCUGGACAGA
rnacentral:rRNA from 1 species